rnacentral:lncRNA from 1 species
AAUAUUCAGUUUUGGAUUAUUUUACAGACAUUGUUGAUAUAAAACACUCAUCAGAGCAGGUACAGUCAUACAUGUAAUGUCUAUAGCACAGACUGUAAAACAGGACUGGGCCUGUGAACAUAUCCUGCCUUUCCACCAGGGUUACUCACUAAACCACGCCCCGACACAAACACACCACCCGGUCUCUCAGUAGCCCGGCCACACCUCUGUUGGUCAGUAUCUGCUGUGUGUUGGGAGGUGAGGGAAGGUUGAUUGGGUACAAAUUAAGUUGCGUGUCCUGUAUCUGUCCCGUCUUCUUAUUGAUGAUUGAUAUAUGAUCUUGCAAUAAUAGUAUAUCCUGUUUAUCAGCUGCUUCUAUCCAAAGCAACGUACAUUUUAACUUAUGGGUGACCCCAGCGGGAAUUAAACCUGCAAUCCUGAUGUUGCAAGCACCAUGCUCUACCAAUGGACCUACAGAGGACCACCAUGUGUUGAUCCAGUUGUUAUGUGUUGUCUGUCUGUCACUAUUAAGCCCAGUAAUAAUGGCCUGUUGGGUGUAAAUUACGUUUAUUACAUUGAAGUGAAUAAACCAGGUGGUAGAUCAUUAUAAACCCAGUUGGUAGUUUAGGUGGUAGAUCAUUAUAAACCCAGUUGGUAGUUUAGGUGGUAGAUCAUUAUAAACCCAGUUGGUAGUUUAGGCGGUAGAUCAUUAUAAACCCAGUUGGUAGUUUAGGUGGUAGGUCAUGGAUGUGCUGGGUUUAGGAGUAACCCCUGUAGUCUCUGCUCUGUUAGCGACACAUGGAGUAAGAUAAUUCAACGUGCAACAAUUUCCCCAUAGAGUUUAAACUGCAAACAUUUUCAUUAUCAUUCUUCCUCUUUUCUUCAUCAGCGUCUUCAUCAUCAUCAUCAUCAUCAUCUCAGAUAUUGUUGCCAUCACAGAGUCAGUGAUGAAGUUCUGGUGUGUGUGUGUGUAUAUAUAUAUAUAUAUAUAUAUAUGUGGUAUGUGUAGAUAGGUAGGUAGGUAGUUAGUUCUGGUGUGUGUAUAUAUAUAUGUGGUAUGUGUAGAUAGGUAGGUAGGUAGGUAGGUAGUUAGUUCUGGUGUGUGUAUAUAUAUAUGUGGUAUGUGUAGAUAGGUAGGUAGUUAGUUCUGGUGUCUCUGGCCUCCUCUCCAGAGUCAAAGUCUUUUGUUUCCAUAGUGUUGAUAGGUUGAUAUCACAUUGUGACAUUGUAUUGCGUUGUACAAUAAACGUCCCAGCAACACUUCAAACACACAGCUCCUUCUCCCAUCUACCUAUAGCGAGUCGGCGUAUCAAGCCACCAUGGCAACCCUGGUGGGUGUGGCUCUUCCUGUCUUGUUGCCGGGGUAACAUCCAUCCUGCUGACUUGUGGGUUAGGGCUAGGUUCAGGGUUCAGGUAAUCUGGUGUUACACCACUGGACAAAACACCAGCCUUACACUCAACUAUAACUGAGUUUAUCAGGGUGUUAAUCUGGCUAUUCUGAUUUUGACUCCGUAUGACAGAAGACAAGCAUUCUCUGGG